rnacentral:antisense_RNA from 1 species
CUCCAUGCGGGUGAGUGUGUGGGGCGCCGCAAGGUGCGCCGGUUACUUGUGCCCGGUCUGCUAACCCAUACAGUCCCCGCGCCCAU